AUGAAGAGAGAGAGAGAGAGAGAGAGAGAAAGAGAGAGAGAGAGAGGUGGUGUGAAGGAGGCGUCUGACGGAGAUGAGAGUAUUUAUAGGUGGAGGGAUGAGGAGACAGUGAAGGUAACGAGGGAAGGAGGGAGGGAGGAGAGAGAGAGAGGAAAAUCCAGACACAAUAAGAAGAGAAGGAAGACAAAGGAGGAGAGACCAUGCUGAGGAGGAAGAGGAGCGUGUCGUUCGGAGGCUUCGGAUGGAUUGAUAAGUCUACAGUCAGCGCUCUGAGAUCUCGUCUUUCUCCUGAUUUUCAUCAUUUGUCCACUAAAACUUGAACUUGUGUUGGUCCGUCUCUCAAAACCAUCUGACUUCCUGUCUGUGAACGUUGGUUCCGACUGAAGACGUACAUCUUUAAAAACAAACAAACAGGAGGAAAUGAAGCAUCAGAUGUGAUCUUCAUCACAUUAUUACAUGAAACCAACAUCAUCAUCCUCAUCCUCUUUGUUUUUCUCUUAAUGACGGCAUCUUCUUCUGCAAUAAUAAUAAUAGAAUAAUCACAACUACAACAUUUUGCAAGAAAUUUUGACAGUGUGGCUGCUACUGCCCGAAGACGUUGCAAUAUACAGUAUGUACUGUAUAUACACGCCAAUAUUACCGGUAGUAUCAUUGAAGUUAUAUUGAGAUAUCGCUUCUCUCUUUUCUGCAUUUUAGAUUCAUACUCUUGGAUUCAAUCUUGUAU